UCAUACUGAAAAAGGUGGUAUAAUAAUGUCAAAAGACCAAAAUAUUUCUAUAAUUUUUAGUAAUUACAUGUUUUAACCUUUUCAUUCCGUAACUCUCUCCCGUUUCUCUCUCCUCCCUUUAAUGGUGUGUUUAGAUGCAGAGCAUGUAGCUCCCUUAUCUACCUGCAUACAACCCAGAUUUUUCUACCCCCUUCAAUAGCUUAGAAAACCCAAAUAAAUCUACCCAUCACUGCCUUCAAAUUCACCAUUGUUAUUUAUGAUAUCUACCUUUGUUCUGAUAGCUAGUUAUUUAUCAUUAAUAUAUGCUGUUUUUUUUUUCUUUUUUGUUCUUUCACCGGAUACAGGGUAUAUUCCUGUAGCAUCUUCAGGAGCUUCUCCUCCUUUGGUGUUUUGAAAGUAUGGUAAUUUCUAACUAAUCUUUUGUGAUUUUUUUUUCAUAAUUUCUUCUUUCAGAUUUUUGAACGUAGAGAGAGAGUCCAGCAAGAACCUAUUAUAAUACCUUUGAGAAAUUAGCUCUCAAUUACGAGAUAUCCAAUAAUUCAAACCAAGAAAAUCUUAUCUUAUUUGAAGAUUGAUUUUUAUAUUCCUUCACUCAACAACUCAGGAAAAGUCUCCUACUAAUCCGAUUUUGUAGUAUUCUUUUCAAAUUUGAUUUUUACAACACACUUAUCACUCUAUAAUCUAGUUUCCUUAUUAGUACAACCUCCCUAGGAACAUCCAAAACUACCAGAUAGAUUCUAAUCAAUUUCCAUCCUACUAAAACACUGUCUCUCCUCGUACGCUAGUUAUUUAUAACACCCACAGGCCACUAUCUCUAUGCUUCUCAAUGUGUGUGGUGUGGAGUGUGAAUGCAUUUGGUGGUACUGCUAUUUGUGAAAGUUGAGUUCUAAUCUUCCAUUCGCAUUGGGCAUCAUCACUGGAAGGGUUAGUUGGACUUUAGGUAUGAUGUAAUUGAUAUUAUUUUUCAUUUAUUUGUUAUUUUUUAGAAGACUUGUAUUAAGAUUUUCUGUUUUGUAUUGAUAAUAUAUCAUUUAUUUGUGUUGAGAGUAUGUAUUUUUUGUAUUGAGAAUAUGUUUUUUUAUGCAUUGAGAAGGUGAACUCCUCUUUUUAGCUAGUCGAGUCUCUUAUGAUUUUGUAUCUUUAAUUUCUAGUAUAAGCAUAGAACCUAUUAACUAAACUAGUUAAGGAUAGAGGCAGAAUACAAACAGAGGAUAGGUCAUAAUUUCUCCCAAGUCUAAACUAGUAACUAAACUAAUACUAUUUCUUUUUCGUACAAUAUUGCCUUCUCCAGUUUUGGCGCAUUAGCAUUUCAUAAUUGCCUAAAAAUGAUGAUAUAAUAGAAUAUGCAGUCAUUAGAUUACAAUAUCAUCUGAAAUAGAGAGAUCCUAUUGGUUGCUAGCAAGUACAAGUAUGAAAUAUAUUUAAGUUAACCAUGCUCAUUUCAACUCAUGAAUAAAGAAUCCAAUCAAUGGUGGCUUAUCAGUACCAAAAAUACAAAGAAAAAAAAAAUAGCAGCACAAUAAUCACUCAGGUAGAUAAUUACCUGAAGUAGUGAACAAAGCAGUGAAAAAAAAAUGGAAGAGUCAUUUUAGUUGAGGAUGAUUCACAUUCUACAAGAAGUAGUGAACAAAGCAUGUCAAAUCAACUUUUUAUGUUGUUGUAAUGUGAAAUUUAAUUGGGCAAUUAAUUAUGAUGAUUCUACUCGAGAGAUCUAAUAAUAUAUAUUAAAACCUUUUGUUUCAAUCACGCCUAGCAAGACAUUAAUAGAGGUGCUCAGGAAACAUGAGUGCUAAGGAAACAUGAGUGCUUGUGGAUUUUUCAUUAUAGUUGACUUUUGAGUUUCUUAUGCAUUACUUAAAUUCUCACUUGUCAGCUCAUUCUUUUGUACUUCCAUGUCUUUCUAGUUCUUCAAUUUCUUCAAUAGUUUAUUUUAAUAAAUGUUGGGUUUCCUUUGCAAUUACGUUUGAUUUAUUUUCUAUUAUGAUUAUGUAAAGAUUAAAACCUUUGUUGUAUCAAAUUUGUAAACUUACUUCUAUACUUUUCAGCAUAUAACAAACAUGCCUAACAAAAAUCAAAAUAAUGUUGUUGCUGCUACACAAAUGCAAGAUAGCUAGACAACUAGAUUAAUUUGGACAGAUAAAAUGCUAGAGGAUUAUGUAGACAUAUGCGUUAGUAGGAUUUAUGCUGGUAACCGUCCAUGGACCCAUUUUAAUAAGGUGGGGUGGAAAAAUGUGGUUAAUAAGUUUAGCGAGAAAAUUGGUAAAGAAUUUAACUACAAACAACUUAAGAACAAGUGGGAUAGUUUAAAAAAGGAUUGGAACAUUUAAACGAAAUUAGUUGGAAAAGAAACUGGCCUUGGAUGGGAUCCGGUGAAGAAGACUGUUGAUGCUACAUAUGAGUGGUGGGCAAAAAAAUUACAGACAUGAAGAAUAAUGGUCACGAUACUGAACAUUACAUGAGCAAUGCUGAUAAUGGUGAAGAAGAAAAAGAGGAUGAUAUUGACUUUGUGAUAGCAUUCCAAUUAAUGGUGGCUUCUAAAUAUUACACAACAUAUAUUGUAAAGGAACCUUGUAGGACCUCUUUACAUAUAGGUCAUAAGUUUGUUAUGGAGAUUCUAAAUGGUCAUCAUGAUAGAUGUCAUCAACAAUUUAGGAUGGAAAAAUAUGUAUUUCAUGCUUUAUGCAAAGAGUUGAAUGAAAGAUAUAACUUAACU